GUAUCAGCAAACAAGCGAGUUGUAAAGCAAAUAAGUAGAUCAAUUAAUCAUUGUUAAGUAAAGCAAUUGUAAACGGACUGUGUUUCAAUUGGAAAUAAAACGUCUGCAGUAAAAACGAAACAAUAUUUUGAGCUAUCCCUGGAUAUUUUUUCAGAUAUGCGAGGAACAAUUCGAAGAGUACCUUAAGAGUGACUUCACAAAUGUGAAUGUUUGGCUUAGAAUGAAUAAACUUAAAUUGAAUGAAAAGAAGACAAAAAGUAUGCAAAUCAUUAUGACAAAUGAGAUAAAUUUCGAAAUAAACAGACAAAUAAUAGAAAAAUUUGGAUAAUAAUACAAAUCUCGGCUUCGUUAUCGACCAAAAACUAAAUUUCAAGGAACAAUAUGAGUAAAAAAUUGCAAAAAAGUUGUGUUCUUCAUAAGGAUAAGGAACAGUAUAAACAAUGACGGCGUUGAAUAUAUACAAUAUUUUAAUAUUGGGUUGCCCAAAAAGUAAUUGCGGAUUUUUCAUAUAGUCGGCGUUGACAAAUUUAUUCACAGCUUGUGACUCUGUAAUUGCAUUCUUUCUUCUGUCAGUUAUCAGCUGUUACUUUUAGCUUGCUUUAGAAAAAAGUUUAAAAAAAGUAUAUUUGAUUAAAGUUCAUUCUAAGUUUUACUAAAAAUGCAUUUAUUUUCUUUUAAAAAAUCCGCAAUUACUUUUUGGGCAACCCAAUACAACCCCUCUUUAAAUUCGGUUCUACAAUUCUUGAUAUGUGUUGUAAUGAUUUCCAGCUUGAUAGACUCUGAAAACUACACCCAAUAAAUGAUAUGUUACUCACACCAAUAAAUUAUAUGUUACAAACCUAAAAUGGCAAACAUUAAAACAGA